rnacentral:rRNA from 1 species
CCUACGGGAGGCAGCAGUGAGGAAUAUUGGUCAAUGGGCGCGAGCCUGAACCAGCCAAGCCGCGUGAAGGAUGACUGUCCUACGGGUUGUAAACUUCUUUUAUAAAGGAAUAUAGGGAGGCAUGUGUGCCUUUUUGUAUGUACUUUAUGAAUAAGGAUCGGCUAACUCUGUGCCAGCAGCCGCGGUAAUACGGAGGAUCUGAGCGUUAUCCGUAUUUAUUGGGUUUAAAGGGAGCGUAGAUGGGUUGUUAAGUUAGUUGUGAAAGAUUGCGGCUCAACCGUAAAAUUGCAAUUGAUACUGGCAGCCUUGAGUACAGUUGAGGUAGGCGGAAUUCGUGGUGUAGCGGUGAAAUGCUUAGAUAUCACGAAGAACCCCGAUUGCGAAGGCAGCUUACUAAACUGUGACUGACAUUGAUGCUCGAAAGUGUGGGUAUCAAACAGGAUUAGAUACCCCUGUAGUC